rnacentral:rRNA from 1 species
UACAGAGGUCCCAAGCGUUGUUCGGAUUCACUGGGCGUAAAGGGUGCGUAGGCGGUCUGUCGCGUCUGCUGUGAAAACUCGGGGCUUAACCCCGGGCCUGCAGUGGGUACGGGCAGACUAGAGUGCGGUAGGGGAGACUGGAAUUCCUGGUGUAGCGGUGAAAUGCGCAGAUAUCAGGAGGAACACCGGUGGCGAAGGCGGGUCUCUGGGCAACAACUGACGCUGAGGAGCGAAAGCGUGGGGAGCGAACAGG